rnacentral:rRNA from 1 species
GACGAACGCUGGCGGCGUGCUUAACACAUGCCAGUCGAACGGAAAGGCCCUGCUUUUGUGGGGUGCUCGAGUGGCGAACGGGUGAGUAACACGUGAGUAACCUGCCCUUGACUUUGGGAUAACUUCAGGAAACUGGGGCUAAUACCGGAUAGGAGCUCCUGCUGCAUGGUGGGGGUUGGAAAGUUUCGGCGGUUGGGGAUGGACUCGCGGCUUAUCAGCUUGUUGGUGGGGUAGUGGCUUACCAAGGCUUUGACGGGUAGCCGGCCUGAGAGGGUGACCGGCGAGGUGGGGGAGGAGUGACGGCGCAGACUGGGGGGGGGGGCGGGAGGGGGUGAUAGGGAACGAGGGAGGGGAGCAUGAGGCAGCGAGGAGGAGUGUGGGAGGCGCGAUCUCGGGUUGCAACCCGGUUGCGGGGGGGAGGGAGGCUGGUUAAAGGUAUUGGGAAAAGAAGAACGGGAGAACGACGGGCAAGGAGCGGCAGUACGGAAGGAACAGCACACGUCAGAAG